GGAUGCGUGCAGUGGGGAGCCCUGUAGAGCUGGGUGAGUAACAGCAAGGAGAGGCGGUUGGCAGCUGUACCCUGUGUGAGAGCAGCCUUGCCGCUGCUGCGAGGGGGCCUGGGCUUCCACAGGUCUUUAGCAGUCCUAACGAAAGUCCUACAAACAGGGCUGGCUCCCCAGAGCUGCACCUGUGCCUGGGAUGACCCGGCGUUUGUUGAUUACUCUGCAAUCAGCCUUGGAAGCUUCACAAUUCAACAACGGGCCUCAUAUUGGUGUUGUGCGCUGAGCCCAGCCCAUUGAGGAGCUGGGCCUGCCUCUGAACUGCCUCUAAGAGGGGUGUGAUUUUACAGUGCUGAAACUGAUAAGCAGUGCCCUCAUGGGGCAACCCAGUGACCACCAGCAGUGGCCAGUCAGGCCCACUACCUUGGCCUGAGAUGCUGCCAUCAGCAUGGGCUCUUAUCCAUUCUUCCUGCCACGUACCUGUAAUUCCGGCAGCCUCUAAAAUCCCCGAGAACUCGUCAAAACCAUCAAGGUCACAGGAAAUAUGGGAAACCUGAGGAGUGAUGAUCACAGCCAAGCAGAAUCUACAGGGACGUGAAAACGGAAUGUAGGACAUGUCCCCUUGGGGAAGGCUGGGGCAGGCAGAGGGUGCAGGGCUAUUUUCUGCUUAAUUUUGCUAUGAACCUAAAGCAAAGCUUCAAAAAUUCAUUUUUCAACUCAAUAAA